ensembl:snRNA U2 U2 spliceosomal RNA
AUUGUUUCCUGGCCUUUUGGUUAAGCUCAAGCAUCUGCUCUUAAUCGUUUUAAUAUCUGAUACAUUUUCUAUCCGAGGACAAUGCAUUAAAUGAGUUUUUGGAGUGGUGAGGUGGAAUAGCUGCUUGCUCCGUCUGCGACACGCAUCGACCUGGUAUUGCAGUACCUUCAAGAACAGCGCACUAAAA